GACGAACGCUGGCGGCGUGCUUAACACAUGCAAGUCGAGCGGAAAGGCCCUUCGGGGUACUCGAGCGGCGAACGGGUGAGUAACACGUGAGUAACCUGCCCUCAGCUUCGGGAUAAGCCUGGGAAACUGGGUCUAAUACCGGAUACGACCAUUGGAUGCAUGUCUGGUGGUGGAAAGUUUUUCGGCUGGGGAUGGGCUCGCGGUCUAUCAGCUUGUUGGUGGGGUGAUGGCCUACCAAAGGCGACGACGGGUAGCCGGCCUGAGAGGGUGACCGGCCACACUGGGACUGAGACACGGCCCAGACUCCUACGGGAGGCAGCAGUGGGGAAUAUUGCGC
rnacentral:rRNA from 1 species